AGCGAACGCUGGCGGCAUGCCUAACACAUGCAAGUCGAACGAGACCUUCGGGUCUAGUGGCGCACGGGUGCGUAACGCGUGGGAAUCUGCCCUUGGGUUCGGAAUAACAGUUGGAAACGACUGCUAAUACCGGAUGAUGACGUAAGUCCAAAGAUUUAUCGCCCAAGGAUGAGCCCGCGUAGGAUUAGCUAGUUGGUGAGGUAAAGGCUCACCAAGGCGACGAUCCUUAGCUGGUCUGAGAGGAUGAUCAGCCACACUGGGACUGAGACACGGCCCAGACUCCUACGGGAGGCAGCAGUGGGGAAUAUUGGACAAUGGGCGAAAGCCUGAUCCAGCAAUGCCGCGUGAGUGAUGAAGGCCUUAGGGUUGUAAAGCUCUUUUACCCGGGAUGAUAAUGACAGUACCGGGAGAAUAAGCUCCGGCUAACUCCGUG
rnacentral:rRNA from 1 species